CCAGACUCCUACGGGAGGCAGCAGUGGGGAAUAUUGGUCAAUGGAGGAAACUCUGAACCAGCAACGCCGCGUGAAUGAUGAAGGUCUUCGGAUUGUAAAGCUCUUUUCUAAGGGAAGAAGAAAGUGACGGUACCUUAGGAAUAAGCCUCGGCUAACUACGUGCCAGCAGCCGCGGUAAUACGUAGGAGGCGAGCGUUAUCCGGAAUGACUGGGCGUAAAGGGUGCAUAGGUGGUUUGACAAGUUGGUAGCGUAACUCCGAGGCUCAACCUCGGCACUACUACCAAAACUGUCGGACUUGAGUGCAGGAGGGGCAAUUGGAAUUCCUAGUGUAGCGGUGGAAUGCGCAGAUAUUAGGAGGAACACCAGUGGCGAAGGCGGCCUGCUGGACCGCGACUGACGUUGAGGCUCGAAAGCGUGGGGAGCGAACAGGAUUAGAUACCCUAGUACA
rnacentral:rRNA from 1 species